AUGAAGCUGCAGAACGGCCAGCUGGUUCACUGUGAGGACACCGGCUCUUGUGCGCAGCGGGCCCUUGGGGCCAUGACCCGGGCAGAGCAGGGCCCCCAGACGGGGGCCCCUCGGGGAGCCGAGCCCGCAGAGCCCUCCCCAGCUGAGCUGGUUCAGUGCCAAGAGGACAUGGGCUCCUUGCUCAGCUCCAUCGCCGAGCUCAACGUGAAGAUUGGGAGACUGAAGGCGCCCAGCGAACCAGAGGACUUUAAACCCUCCAGAGUAUCCCAACCCGUGCUUCAAGGCUUGUGGCACCACAGGCUUCUCACUGGAGGCCAAGAGAGGCCCCCAGCCCCAGGCUCUGACCGAGGCCCCCCUAACCCGGAGGGCAGACGUGAGUUAUGGCCCAAACUACAGAAGGCUCUUACGGCUGUGGAGAGGUCCGUCAAUACCAGGCGCAAAUGGGCCAUUCUCACCACUGCUACGGAUCUGGUCAGACAGACAGAACACCUCGUAGCAGCUGAAACAAUCACAGCGUCAGCGACACAGAUUCUGGAGGAGAUACAAAGAGAGUUGGGGAUUUCGUUUCCUCCAGCAAUGCCAAAUAUAGAACGUCCACAAUGCCGUAUCCACAGCAGCUUGGGGGCGGAGACGCAGGCGCCCCCCCCACCCCCCCCCAGCCCCAUCCCUCUGAUGGGAGAGAUGGGCAGCCUGCGGAGGAAGCUGGAGGGUCUGCAGAAGGCCUGGAGCUCCAGGAGUCCCUCCCCUCUCUACAGCCCUCCCGGGGCCUCCCCGUGUGGGCCUCGGAGCCCCAGGCUGACCUCGCCGCCUCCCUGCCCCGGCUCCCCCCUGCUCCUCAGGAGGCCGCUGCGAGCCUUCACAGCUCCUCUCUCCACGCUCAGGGACACCUCCCCCCCCGGCUCCCCCCGGCCUGCCAGGACCCCGGGGGUCUGCAGCGCGUCACCGGCCCCCAACUCAGCCAGCAGCCACGAGAGCGAGACAGAACGGUUGCAGAGGUACGUCAAGCGGCUGCGGGCGAGGAACCGGCGCCUGAGCUCCGCUCUGGAGCGGCGGACGGCCGAGCCGCCGCAGGGGGACCGGCCCACCCUGCAGAUGGCCCUGGCAUACUGCCAGGAAUGUGAAGAAGCUUAUAGCGAACUACUGUCCCUGUAUGAGUUGAACAAACAACAAGGCGUUGAGGUCUGCCAGUUCCCAUCAUCAGGCCCCGCUGGGGACCUGCAGCAGUCUAGUAGUCCGCCACACCGCUUCAGGUUCCCCGAGGCCCAUCAGCUGUCCACUUCCUUCUCCACAGCAGGGGGCGCUGUGGGGGGCGACGGUUGGACUCUAGCUGAGCAGAGGGCCGCUUCCGUCGGGCGGGAGGCCGCUCUCCGGCUGCACAUCCAGGGUCUGACCGCCGCGCGGCCCCUGAGGACUGGAGGAGAAAGGCCCCUGGUCCCCGCCCCCGGGCUGGCCCCAGACCCGGGCCCCGCUACAUAUGGGCUGGAGCUGCAGGAGGAUGAGCGGGCGAGGGGUACAGAGAAGAGUCUGCCGUUCGAGGAACCUUUCACCGUCGGGGAGGAGAUGGCCGAGCGGUCGGCUGAGACCCACCUGGCAGAGGAGGAGCUGAGGUGCCUGGACUGGGCUCUGCAGGCCCUGAAGGCCCAGGAUUCUCCCCCCGGCCCCCCUCUGGCACCGCACCCCCAGAGCCCCGGAGUGGGGCUGCUGCACCGCGCUGAACCCCAGUCACUUCCUGAAGCAGAAGACAAUGGGAACACCUCUCGUUCUCAGAAGAAAGACAAUCUGGAAGAGCUCCACGUUAUAUUUCAAAGAGAUCAAGGUUUGAAGAAGAGACUGUCCCUCGUUCGGGAGUCCUUGGCCACAGCUCUCCGGGACAGCGCCCCCCGCAGACGGGACAGCGAUGACCCCACAAGCCGGAAAGCAGCGAGCGCUCACAGGAGCAGCCGGAGGAGGUACCAGGAGCAGGUAUGGAGGCUGGAGCAGAAGGUGGCAGCCAUGUCCCAGAGCCAUCUGAGUCAGAUAGCCGGCCUGAAAGCCACCGUGGAGGCCCUGGAGGGGAGGCAGGAAGAGACGGCUCUGUGA
ensembl:lncRNA